UUAAAAAAGAGUGAUCUUCCUUUUUAUCUGAUGCUAUUACUAGUAGAGAUUGCUUUGAAUUGAUAACUUUACCUCUUUACAACAUUUUUUCUAGGCUAGAGCAAAUCUUACCCAGGCCUCAAAUCUUUAUUCUGGACAAGUGCAACAACCUGGCCAGACAAAUUUUUAUAACACUGCCCAAUCACCGAGUGCUCUCCAGCAGGUUACAGUACCUUUGCCAGCAUCCCAGCUUUCCUUGCCUAACUUUGGAUCCACAGGGCAGCCUUUGAUUGCUUUGCCUCAGACUCUUCAGCCCCCAUUACAGCAUACCACCCCACAAGCACAGGCUCAGAGUCUGAGCCGUCCUGCACAAGUGAGCCAGCCUUUCAGAGGUCUGCUGGAACACAGCAUAGCAUGAUUGCAACUGCAGGGAAAGUAAGUGCAGAGAAAUUUGGGGAGCCUUUUGGAGAAUUUAAAGCCAUGUGUUCAGAUGUGUACAUCUGUGUGGUCUAUAAAAAUAAAAUUCACCAAUUUUUACCAGCAUGCAGAAAAUCUUAAACCCUGAUAUACUAUUUAUGCAUUUGGCCCACUUUUAUAUUUGCCUAGUAACAAAAAAUUUGCAAAUUUUGUGUAAGAAUUAGAUUUUCAAAUAGUCUUGUACUUGCUUAAUUCUAAGUCUAUUUGGCCUGAUAAUUUCAUGAAAUUUAAAGCCCAACUAGUAGGUUCUUAGCCCUUUCCUAGAUUAAGCUUUCAUGUUUGGGCAUUAAACAUAGCAAUUAGGGUAUCGAGUUGAAGGAAUGUUAAGUUUAUUUUCUCUGUUUCCUUAGAUGUCUGAAAUGGAACUAAAAGCCUUUGGAAGUGGCAUUGAUAUAAAACCAGGCACACCUCCAAUCGGCGGGAGAAGCACCACACCAACAUCUAGUCCCUUCCGGGCUACGUCAACCAGUCCAAACAGCCAGUCCAGCAAAAUGAACAGCAUUGUCUAUCAGAAGCAGUUCCAGUCAACCCCUGCCACUGUGAGAAUGACACAGCCUUUUCCUACACAGUUUGCACCCCAGAAGAGAGCUGUGGGAAGAGGACUCAGCCACAAGACAUUUGGUCCUAGGUGUUGGCAAAACAGAGAGCAGAGGUUCUUCAAUCCACGCAACGGUUCUUCUCUGAACAGCAACAGAGCAAACAGAUAGGAGGCAAAGCCCAGAAAGUGGACAGUGAUUCAAGUAAACCUUCUGAAACACUGACAGACCCUCCUGGUGUCUGUCAGGAAAAAGUAGAAGAGAAGCCACCCCCCGCAUCCACCAUAGCCACCAAACCUGUCAGGACUGGACCAAUCAAACCUCAGGCGAUCAAAACUGAAGAAACAAAAUCUUAAAGGACAUGGUGUAUUGCAACGCAUUGAGGGAGGGGGAGGGGGAGGGGGAAGUCAGAUAAUGCCAGCAGCCAUGGGGCUAAAAUGGUUUGUGACAUUAUCCUGUGUAGAGCUUGGGGAUGCACAAGGGACAUAGGAACAAAUAACACUGGCACACGGCUGUUGCACCAGUUAUAUUAGGCUUUGCAAGCUUGCAUCUACUAUAUAACAUUUGCUUAGUUGAUGACCAUGCAUCUUCAGUCAGAAUUUUAUAAACAGAUAUGUGCACAUACUCCUUAGUGCAUAUAAUUUAGACCUAAAAAUCUUUAUGGUUAGAUGAAACACCAGAAGUAGGAGGAAAAUAACACCACACAGGAAUAGCUCAGCUGAACAAUGUAGUGGUCCCAGCUAGUACAUCAGAUAGGGUUUCUUUGCUCCCUUAUGUUCUUUGAGUGUGGUUAUAGUUUUUAUAGGCCUGGAGGUGAAGAACUGCAAAUAACUGGUGCUGGAUAGAGGAGCCUUAUUUUUUUCUAUGGCAGCUUGCUAUUUUUGUAACAUGGUGAUUGGGUUGAGCAAAAUCAAGUACAGUAGUAACUGAUCUCCCCUUCUUCCUGGAUGAGCGAGCAGAUGAUUAAAUAUUGAUGUUGGUGUCCUUGAACAUACCCAAAUGAGUGAUGUUUGCCUACUACUUCUCUUUGAAAGGAUGCAGUGUUUCGGUUGUGGUCCGAAGCUUUGAAGCACUACUACUUGGCAUCUCCUUUCUUCAGUGGAGCUCUUACCUUUCAAACAUGACAGAUUUGAUAAAAUACUAGCUCGGUUGAGUCUUGCUUGCCUUCACUCAAUCAUCUUCGUAUGAAUUAUUUUUUCUGUUUUGUGUUUACCCCAGGUUUUUUAAAAACGGUUUUUAGCUGAUGUUCAUGAAGAGAAUGAGUAAUUAAAUUUGUGCCGUUAAUGUAAGGAAAUCCUAUCUAAGAAAGUACAUUUCUUUACAGAGUCGUGUCAUAUCAUUCUUUGGGCCCUUUGCUGGAAAAGUAGAAUCAAGUCUGAAAUAAUGCCUUUUUAAUUGUAUCCUCUAUCCUCUAGUAUUAUAGAUGUAGGACAGUACUGUAUCAUACCUCUGUGAAUGUAAAAUAUCUUGUACCUGCUUUAUGAUACGUAGUAGUGACCGUGCUUUAUCAGAGCUGUUUUUAAUGAUGUUACUCUAGAAUGUUUUCUUUCCAGAUGAUGAUUAAGAAGCUAAUUUAAUGGAGUGUGCUGGAUGUCUCUAUAAUUCUGUUCACAUGACUGCAGAACCUGGAAAAGCUGUUGCUGCUAUUGAUGCAUAACAUACUGCUAUUAUUGGUCUUUUUAUAUAAAUAUAAAUAUAUAUAUACAUAUAUAUAUAAUUUGAAUUUUUGGAAACUUUAACUGUGCUGUCAACUUUGGAAAAAGUUAUCCCAGUUUACUGUGUUGAGUUGGCAUUGUACAGAAAUUAACAGCCAUAUUGGUCUAGAAAUGUUAAACUUAAUUUUUUUUUUCCAUUUGUACAGGGGUAAUGCACUGUAUUAAAUAUGUAAGGUCUUAUCUACGUGGGUUUGAUUACAGAAACUAAUAAAGUAUUCUCUAAAUAAUGAAUCUUGUGCUUUUAAUCCAUUCUUCAAAUCUAAAGCAAAGCCUGUCAUGUAAAAAUAGUUCUCCAUUAAAAGGUUAUCAUCCAAAAAUUUGAUUUCUGUCUUUUAAGAAUUUUAUGGCUUGUUCAGCCCUGUCAUUAUUGUUGUAGAGGAUAAUAGUUC
rnacentral:lncRNA from 1 species